ensembl:snoRNA U8 U8 small nucleolar RNA
UCGUCAGUGAGGUACAUCCUUACCUGUUACUCCUCUCGAGGAGUUUCAGAACAUGAUGAUUGGAGACACAUGAGAUAUGAUUAUUAUCUCCGUCUUGUAGGGAACAGCAACACCCUACAAGGUCCCAUCUGAU